rnacentral:rRNA from 1 species
AUGAGGAAGGAAGUGAAGUCUAUCAGUGAUGAGCUUCGUAGCAUGAAUAAUUUUCUUGAGAGGAUUUCAGAUGUGGACGAGUUAGAUAAGCAAACCAGUGGGUGGAGGGAUGAAGUGACAGAGAUGUCUUAUGAUAUUGAAGACAUUAUUGAUGACUUCAAGCUUCACAUUGUGGAGAAAGGUGAAAGUUCUGGGAUUGUGAACAGUACUAUUUAG